UGGAAUAUCAAUUGGUUUUGACAAGUCUUAUUUUGCUUUUGGAGGCUAAUUUCUCCCAUUAAAGAAGCAAAACGAAGUAUCAUUAAAUUAUAACGUGUCUAAUAAUUUUAGUCUUCACGCUUUGUUUCAUAAAAACGAUUUUGUUUGCAUGGGGCAACUAUGCAAGCAAACCAGUUAUUUUUUUUAUAGACUUUGUUGUCUCAAUAAUCUUUUCUUUCAGGUUGUAUCUUCCCACUUUUUUUUCAAUAAAAUUGGACUUAAAAUAUGGCUGAAAUAAAAUGAACCAGUUAUUUUAUAAGAAUUGUAACAAAAUAAGAUG